GAUUAGAGUUUGAUCCUGGCUCAGAUUGAACGCUGGCGGCAGGCCUAACACAUGCAAGUCGAGCGGUAGCACAGAGAGCUUGCUCUCGGGUGACGAGCGGCGGACGGGUGAGUAAUGUCUGGGAAACUGCCUGAUGGAGGGGGAUAACUACUGGAAACGGUAGCUAAUACCGCAUAACGUCGCAAGACCAAAGUGGGGGACCUUCGGGCCUCAUGCCAUCAGAUGUGCCCAGAUGGGAUUAGCUGGUAGGUGGGGUAACGGCUCACCUAGGCGACGAUCCCUAGCUGGUCUGAGAGGAUGACCAGCCACACUGGAACUGAGACACGGUCCAGACUCCUACGGGAGGCAGCAGUGGGGAAUAUUGCACAAUGGGCGCAAGCCUGAUGCAGUCAUGCCGCGUGUGUGAAGAAGGCCUUCGGGUUGUAAAGCACUUUCAGCGGGGAGGAAGGCGGUGAGGUUAAUAACCUCAUCGAUUGACGUUACCCGCAGAAGAAGCACCGGCUAACUCCGUGCCAGCAGCCGCGGUAAUACGGAGGGUGCAAGCGUUAAUCGGAAUUACUGGGCGUAAAGCGCACGCAGGCGGUCUGUCAAGUCGGAUGUGAAAUCCCCGGGCUCAACCUGGGAACUGCAUUCGAAACUGGCAGGCUAGAGUCUUGUAGAGGGGGGUAGAAUUCCAGGUGUAGCGGUGAAAUGCGUAGAGAUCUGGAGGAAUACCGGUGGCGAAGGCGGCCCCCUGGACAAAGACUGACGCUCAGGUGCGAAAGCGUGGGGAGCAAACAGGAUUAGAUACCCUGGUAGUCCACGCUGUAAACGAUGUCGAUUUGGAGGUUGUGCCCUUGAGGCGUGGCUUCCGGAGCUAACGCGUUAAAUCGACCGCCUGGGGAGUACGGCCGCAAGGUUAAAACUCAAAUGAAUUGACGGGGGCCCGCACAAGCGGUGGAGCAUGUGGUUUAAUUCGAUGCAACGCGAAGAACCUUACCUGGUCUUGACAUCCACAGAACUUAGCAGAGAUGCUUUGGUGCCUUCGGGAACUGUGAGACAGGUGCUGCAUGGCUGUCGUCAGCUCGUGUUGUGAAAUGUUGGGUUAAGUCCCGCAACGAGCGCAACCCUUAUCCUUUGUUGCCAGCGGUUAGGCCGGGAACUCAAAGGAGACUGCCAGUGAUAAACUGGAGGAAGGUGGGGAUGACGUCAAGUCAUCAUGGCCCUUACGACCAGGGCUACACACGUGCUACAAUGGCAUAUACAAAGAGAAGCGACCUCGCGAGAGCAAGCGGACCUCAUAAAGUAUGUCGUAGUCCGGAUUGGAGUCUGCAACUCGACUCCAUGAAGUCGGAAUCGCUAGUAAUCGUAGAUCAGAAUGCUACGGUGAACACGUUCCCGGGCCUUGUACACACCGCCCGUCACACCAUGGGAGUGGGUUGCAAAAGAAGUAGGUAGCUUAACCUUCGGGAGGGCGCUUACCACUUUGUGAUUCAUGACUGGGGUGAAGUCGUAACAAGGUAACCGAAU
rnacentral:rRNA from 1 species